rnacentral:rRNA from 1 species
AACGAACGCUGGCGGCAUGCCUAACACAUGCAAGUCGAACGAGACCUCCGGGUCUAGUGGCGCACGGGUGGGUAACGCGUGGGAACCUGUCCUUAGGUUCGGAAUAACUCCCCGAAAGGGGUGCUAAUACCGGAUAAUGUCUACGGACCAAAGAUUUAUGGCCAUUGGAUGGGCCCGCGUUGGAUUAGCUAGUUGGUAGGGUAAAAGCCUACCAAGGCGACGAUCCAUAGCUGGUCUGAGAGGAUGAUCCGCCACACUGGGAGUGAGACACGGCCCAGACUCCUACGGGAGGCAGCAAUGGGGAAUAUUGGACAAUGGGCGAAAGCCUGAUCCAGCAAUGCCGCGUGAGUGAUGAAGGCCUUAGGGUUGUAAAGCUCUUUUACCCGGGAUGAUAAUGACAGUACCGGGAGAAUAAGCUCCGGCUAACUCCGUG